rnacentral:rRNA from 1 species
UAACACAUGCAAGUCGAACGGACCUAGCCCGGUAGUAAUAUUGGGCGACGGUUAGUGGCGAACGGGUGAGUAACGCGUGAGCAACCUGCCUUUCAGAGGGGGAUAACAACUGGAAACAGUUGCUAAUACCGCAUAAUGUAUUUAGAUGGCAUCAUUUGGAUACCAAAGGUUAAAUCCGCUGAGAGAUGGGCUCACGUCUGAUUAGCUAGAUGGUAGGGUAAGGGCCUACCAUGGCUGCGAUCAGUAGCCGGUCUGAGAGGAUGAACGGCCACAUUGGGACUGAGACACGGCCCAGACUCCUACGGGAGGCAGCAGUGGGGAAUAUUGGGCAAUGGGCGCAAGCCUGACCCAGCAACGCCGCGUGAAGGAAUAAGGCCUUCGGGUUGUAAACUUCUUUUAUUAGGGACGAAGGAUGUGACGGUACCUAAUGAAUAAGCCACGGCUAACUACGUGCCAGCAGCCGCGGUAUACGUAGGUGGCAAGCGUUGUCCGGAUUACUGGGUGUAAGGGCGCGUAGGCGGAUGCAGUCAGAUGUGAAAUCCAUGGGCUCAACCCAUGAACUGCAUUUGAAACUGUGUUUCUUGAGUGAUGGAGAGGCAGGCGGAAUUCCUAGUGUAGCGGUGAAAUGCGUAGAUAUUAGGAGGAACACCAGUGGCGAAGGCGGCCUGCUGGACAUCAACCGACGCUGAUGCGCGAAAGCGCGGGGAGCAAACAGGAUUAGAUACCCUGGUAGUCCGCGCCGUAACGAUGAAUACUAGGUGUGGGGGGACUGACCCCUUCCGUGCCGGAGCAAACGCAAUAAGUAUUCCACCUGGGGACUACGGUCGCAAGACUAAAACUCAAAGGAAUUGACGGGGGACCACACAAGCAGUGGAUUAUGUGGUUUAAUUCGAAGCAACGGAAGACUUACCGGGGUUGACAUCGACUAACAGAAGCAGAGAUGCAUUAGGUGCCCUUCGGGGAAGUCGAGACAGGUGGUGCAUGGUUGUCGUCAGCUCGUGUCGUGAGAUGUUGGGUUAAGUCCCGCAACGAGCGCAACCCUUGUUGUUAGUUGCUACGUAAGAGCACUCUAACGAGACUGCCGUUGACAAAACGGAGGAAGGUGGGGACGACGUCAAUCAUCAUGCCCCUUAUAUCCCGGGCUACACACGUAAUACAAUGGCGUUUAACAACGGGAAGCGAAGGAGCGAUCCGGAGCGAAUCCCCAAAAGGCGUCUCAGUUCGGAUUGCAGGCUGCAACUCGCCUGCAUGAAGUAGGAGUUGCUAGUAAUCGCGGAUCAGCAUGCCGCGGUGAAUACGUUCCCGGGCCUUGUACACACCGCCCGUCACACCAUGAGAGUCGGGAACACCCGAAGUCGGUAGUCUAACCUGAUAAGGAGGGCGCCGCCGAAGGUGGGCUUGAUAAUUAGGGUG